rnacentral:misc_RNA from 1 species
UACAUACAUACCUUGGGAUAAAG